rnacentral:rRNA from 1 species
GAGUGAAGAGGGAAGAGCUCAUCAUUGGAAUCUGGCAGUGUUGCACUGUCCGAGUUGUAGAUGAGGAGUAGUCCGUCUGGACUGCAUGGCGUCCAAGUACAAUAGGCCGUCAGUGGGACAUCAUAGAGGGUGACAAUCCCGUCCUUGACGCUAUGUGCAAGUCUAUUACGAUGGCUAUCUCAGAGAGUCGAGCAGUUUGGGAUUUGCUGCUUAAACAUGGGAGGUAGAUUCCUUCUAAAGCUAAAUACAGGCGAGAGACCGAUAGAGAACAAGUACCGCAAGGGAAAGAUGAAAUAGCACUCUGUGAAGGGAGUCAAAAGGCGUGAAAUUGUUGCGAGAGAAGCGAUUCAAGUCAGCGUAGCUAGGCCCAUCAAGCGUCUUCGCUUUGGACUAGCUUUGCCAGCGGUCUUGUCCCUUAAAGAGACUUGACUUGUAAUAUGUCCAGCCUGGCGUGCACAGGCAGCCCCUUCUGGGGGCCAGUGGCAUGGCUGGUGGAAUGGCUUGCAAUCGACCCGUCUUGAAACACGGACCAAGGAGUCUAACAUGUAUGCGAGUAUAAGGGUGGCAAACCCGUAUGCGCAAUGAAAGUGAUUUUCGGUGAUUGAGAAUGGCCUGAUGACCAGACAAGCAAUACAUGUCCCUCGUACGGCCAUUGCCCAAGUUCCGUGGUAGAUCCCACGAACAUGGAGUUGGAGCAUACAUGCUAGGACCCGAAAGAUGGUGAACUAUGCCUGGACAAAGCGAAGCCAAAGGAAACUCUGGUGGAGGCUUGUAGCGAUUCUGACGUGCAAAUCGAUCGUCUGAUCUG